UAGGGAAUCUUCCACAAUGGGCGCAAGCCUGAUGGAGCAACACCGCGUGAGUGAAGAAGGGUUUCGGCUCGUAAAGCUCUGUUGUUGGAGAAGAACGUGCGUGAGAGUAACUGUUCACGCAGUGACGGUAUCCAACCAGAAAGUCACGGCUAACUACGUGCCAGCAGCCGCGGUAAUACGUAGGUGGCAAGCGUUAUCCGGAUUUAUUGGGCGUAAAGCGAGCGCAGGCGGUUGCUUAGGUCUGAUGUGAAAGCCUUCGGCUUAACCGAAGAAGUGCAUCGGAAACCGGGCGACUUGAGUGCAGAAGAGGACAGUGGAACUCCAUGUGUAGCGGUGGAAUGCGUAGAUAUAUGGAAGAACACCAGUGGUGAAGGCGGCUCUCUGGUCUGCAAACUGACGCUGAGGCUCGAAAGCAGGGUAGCGAACA
rnacentral:rRNA from 1 species